rnacentral:misc_RNA from 1 species
UUCUGAAGCAACAAUUUUGGUUCUUUUUCAUGAUAUGCUUUAGAUAUUGGUGAAGAAUGAAUUUUCAAUUUUUACAUUGGGAAAUCUCAUGUUUAAGUUAUGGCUAUCAAUGCUUAUAUGCUUAGAUAUUAGUCUAUUACUUUUGACAUUUAGAAAUUCCUUCUUUAGUAGUGGCUUCCUAGAUCAGGGGGAAAUGCUAAUCUAUGUAUCUAGUCCAUCUGUCCAUGGUCUGUAGGUUUUUAAUUAUUGAUUGUUUAGCAAAAUUAG